rnacentral:rRNA from 1 species
CCUACGGGUGGCAGCAGUGGGGGAUAUUGCACAAUGGGGGGAACCCUGAUGCAGCGACGCCGCGUGGGUGAAGGAGCGUUUCGGCGCGUAAAGCCCUAUCGGCAGGGAAGAAGGAGGACGGUACCUGACUAAGAAGCCCCGGCUAACUACGUGCCAGCAGCCGCGGUAAUACGUAGGGGGCAAGCGUUAUCCGGAGUUACUGGGUGGAAAGGGGGCGCAGACGGCAGCGCAAGCCAGGAGUGAAAGCCCGGGGCCCAACCCCGGGACUGCUCUUGGAACUGCGCGGCUGGAGUGCAGGAGGGGCAGGCGGAAUUCCUGGUGUAGCGGUGAAGUGCGUAGAUAUCAGGAGGAACACCGGUGGCGAAGGCGGCCUGCUGGACUGCGACUGACGUUGAGGCCCGAAAGCGUGGGGAGCGAACAGGAUUAGAUACCCCUGUAGUC